AUACGGAGGACGCGAGCGUUAUCCGGAUUCAUUGGGUUUAAAGGGUGCGCAGGCGGCCGUGCAAGUCAGCGGUGAAAGCCCGGGGCUCAACCCCGGAAGUGCCGUUGAUACUGCAUGGCUGGAAUGCGGUCGAGGCGGGCGGAACGUGGCGUGUAGCGGGGAAAUGCGUAGAUAUGCCACAGAAAGCCGAUAGCGGAGGCGGCUCGCCAGGCCUGGAUUGACGCUCGGGCACGAAAGCGUGGGGAUCGAACAGGAUUAGAUACCCUGGUAGUCCACGCCGUAAACGAUGGGCGCUCGUCGUCGGCGGCAGACAGUCGGCGGGCAAGCGAAAGCGAUAAGCGCCCCACCUGGGGAGUACGGUCGCAAGGCUGAAACUCAAAUGAAUUGACGGGG
rnacentral:rRNA from 1 species